rnacentral:rRNA from 1 species
UAAUACCAACCCCCCGAGUGGUAAGGACGAUUAUUUGGCUUAAAGCGUUCGUAGCCGGCUUGGAUAGUCUUCCGUUAAAUCCAGCGACUAAUCGUUGGGCUGCGGAAGAUACUUUCAAGCUAGGAGGCGGAAGAGGUCGGCGGUAUUCCUAGGGGAGGGGUGAAAUCCUAUAAUCCUAGGAGGACCACCAGUGGCGAAGGCGGCCGACCAGUACGCGCUCGACGGUGAGGGACGAAAGCUGGGGGAGCGAACCGGAUUAGAUACCCGGGUAGUCCCAGCCGUAAACUAUGCAGGCUAGGUGUUGAGGUGGCUACGUGCCACUUCAGUGCCGCAGGGAAACCGUUAAGCCUGCCGCCUGGGGAGUAC